rnacentral:lncRNA from 1 species
UGAAUCAUCUGAUAACCAGGUGACUGUGGUAAGAAUAUUGACAGCUAUGAGAAUACCAGGGUGUUUAUGACCUGUCCCUGGCUCCACACAGCUCUUGUCAAUUUCUUCUAUUUGUCACUCUGAACUGUCAUUUAUAGUGAUAAGAAAAGAACAGAAGGCUCAGUAGAGGCGAACACCGAGGGAUGUUAAAGACAUCUGAGGACUCCCUGUUUUGCAUUUUGAGGACUAUUUUGAUCUCUGCCAGUUCAAAGUGGCCAAGAGUAAUUAUCUCAGCUCCUAAAUACAUUCUCAUCUCUAUUCUCUGGAUAAUGACUGUCGACUCCAGGAGUCUGUAA